rnacentral:misc_RNA from 1 species
GAUAAACUUCAGCAAACUCUGGCACAGAACAUCCUAACUAUGACCACUGGAAUGGGAAGUUACAGUUCUCAAAUGGUUUCUAGUAUGGAAAAGUUAGAAGCACUCGAGAGUUUCGUUAACCAGGCAGAUCACCUUAGACAGCAAACACUACAACAAAUGUCACUUGUCUUGACAACACGCCAAUCAGCCAGGGGGUUACUAGCUUUCGGGGAGUAUCUUCAACGUCUUCGUGCUCUAAGUUCUCUUUGGGCUGCUCGUCCUCGUGAACCUACCUAGCCUUUUACGAGCAAAGCAGACGAAGAUCACUAAGUUUCCUCGAAUGUAAGCUGUUUAACUACGCCUGAACGAGAUGUAUAUGGAAAAUGUAAUCGAAGUCUUGUCUAGAAUUUCAUACUCGGAAAACGCGUAUUAUUCAGGUGGUACCCUGGCAAGUUUCAAGAAUUUUAUGUACAUAGGGAAGGGGGAUGUGUAUAAUUCUAGAAUAAGAACUUGAUGAGAGUAGAG